GUGGGAGGGGGCUUGCUCCCGAUGGCAGUGUUUCAGUCAACUGAUAUGUCGACUGACUCACCGCUAUCGGGAGCAAGCCCCCUCCCAU
rnacentral:misc_RNA from 1 species